UACGUAGGGGUGCAAGCGUUUAAUCGGAAUUACUGGGCGUAAAGCGUGCGCAGGCGGUGAUGUAAGACAGAUGUGAAAUCCCCGGGCUUAACCUGGGAACUGCAUUGGUGACUGGCAGGCUUUGAGUGUGGCAGAGGGAGGUAGAAUUCCACGUGUAGCAGUGAAAUGCGUAGAGAUGUGGAGGAAUACCGAUGGCGAAGGCAGCCUCCUGGGCCAACACUGACGCUCAUGCACGAAAGCGUGGGGAGCAAACAGG
rnacentral:rRNA from 1 species